ensembl:antisense Asb17os ankyrin repeat and SOCS box-containing 17, opposite strand
UUUUCACUCAGCUCCUCCCCUGUAGGUUCUGCACUUUCUGGAGUCUGCUGUGCUGACAUCGCAUCCUGACCAGUUCUACAGUCACCAUGUUGCUUUCUCCCAGCCACCCCAUCAGACUUUGGAAAUGUUUAAUAUCUUGAUUUUCUUUUCCUGGGAUCAGAUCCCUGGUUUUGGUACUAGCUUUAUCAAGCACUAUACGAACAGUGUUUUCGCUUACGGUGCUGCUGUAAAUCACUCAUCCAGUCAACACACGGUAUGUGGGACAUACCUGUGUGCAAAAGUGACUCUCAUCCACCUGACAACUAAAAGCACAACCCACACUGGAGUUGGCUUGGACAGCAGCGGUCAUCCCAGUCACUCUGCUACGCCUGAGUUUGUAAAGGUGUUAUCCCAAGAAGUCUUCACGUUGUUCUGGGAGAGACACGGGGAAGAUCAUGAUGAUGAAACUGUGGGUAUAAAGGGGAAACACAGAGUUCAUAGAGACUGGCUCAUCA